rnacentral:lncRNA from 1 species
UUCCAACUGAGCAUGAUACACUUCAUACUAUUACAAACUUACUCUUGCCUCAUUUGUCCUAAAUAAACAUCAGUUGUCCUUGUGCUUGUAUUUGUUGGGCAAAUUGCCAAAUCUGGGAAAUGCCGCUGCUUCCUCUGAUGCUGCCAUGCUGGCACACUUUCUUUUGGUGGGAAGGAAUGCUGCUGCUAUUUAAAGGAAGCACCUUCUAGGAGGUCCUGCUUUGAGGACCAAAGUUUGUGCCUGGAAUUUGAACUCCACUUGAAACUUGAUCCUGCGCCAAAGAAAAUAAAGACAAGAAAGUGAAACCAAUGGCUGUUUUUUUACGCAAACUGGAAUUUAACUUUCAUUUUAAAUGCGCUGUCGUCCGGAUUGGUUUUGUUGAAUGGGCACCGACGCUUCUGCUCUACAAGCGCAGCUCUCCCCAGCUAAAGAAACCCCGACCUGCGGGAGGGAGCCCGUCGUCCAGCAGGUGAAAAAUGCUGUCUUUCUCGGGGAUGUGACCUGAGUUCUACUUUGAGUUCUUUGUGAGUCUUCCAGCCUGGAUGGUACUGCGGCAAUAUUUUAACAUUUUUCAGAUGGCAUUCCUCCACAUCUUUCCUCUGGUCUUGCUACUACUGAACACAUCAAAUUCUAUUCAGGCUGUGUCUUCUAGUUUCUCAUGUGAAUCAAAUGUUGCAGAACGUGGAAAAACUGCCAGCAUUAUCUGCAAGUACACUAAAGAUAUUAGAAAUGCAUCAGUGAAAUUCUGUUUUGCCAAUACUACCACCUGUCCUGAAAGAAGUGAACUCAACACAUAUAACAGAAAGUUAACCUCUGACCAUGGAAGAAUUUCACUGAAGUUGAAUCACUCCGCCAUCCUGAUUAUUAACAAAGUACAAAUAUUGGACCAAAGAAAUUACUAUUUUUUUCUUGAAGCUGAGAAUCAUUUUGGAAGAAAAUAUGUGUUUCUAAAAGUUGUUGGUGGUUCUUGCAUCACAUUUGAAGACGCCACAACCAAUGAGUUGCGAUUAGAAAAGACAAACAAUUCCAUUCUGAUUGUAGUAAUUGUUCUUGUGGUACUCACUGUUAUUCUUCUGGCAUUGUUCUGGAGAAAGAAGAAAGGUGCGUCUUUACCAACAGUUCAGGAUUGAGUGCAGCUCCAUAUUUUCCUUCUCAGGAAGUAAUUUGGAAACAUCCCUGUGGAGACAUAGAAGGAGAAAAAUUAAUCUCAGAGCAAGAGAAACGUGGGUUGGAUCUAGAGAUGGCCAAGAACUGUCAGACCAGUUCAUGCCAGCUCAUCCUAUGGCUCAACAGGUGUUCAGCACUUCCCAGCCCUGCCUCCUCUGGUCCCCACUCAGAGGCAGCGCCCCACCUUUCCUGCCCUGCCUCCUCUGGCCACUGCCUCUGAGUAGGCAAUUGCAGGAGGAGGCAAGGCUGAGAAGUGCCAAAGACUUGUUCAGCAGAUGAACAAAU